AGGUGGCCGAUCUUAAAAUAAAUAAAUUUUGAAUUUUUUAUAGAGCGUUAAAGUUUUGCGAAGCCAGGGGGCGGGGCUACUUGAUUGACAGUCUGGUCUGGAAUGAUUGACAGGUCCUAUGGAGGAGGCAGCAGAGACUCUGCUCUCCUCGUUUGGAUUAAUUCUGAUAUAAUAACUGUUGGUUUAUUUAUCGGUGCAGCAGCAGAACCUUUUCCACAGACAGUUUUCCUGCCCGUUGGCUUGUUUUAACCAGUUUUCUGCCUCCAGCUGAUUCUACCAGCAGACACUGAAAGGACUCUGAUAGUUCGUUCAGCAGACAGGCGCUUUGCUUUGGAGUGUGACGAUGUGACGAGUGAAAGUAGCAGUUCCUCCUGAAGGUCAGAGAUCGCAGCAUCUGAGGGCCUCUUCAAAAGAAGACGUAGUUGAUGAAGGUGUUCUGGAGCAGGACCAGAAAGACCACGACCAAGCAGCCCUGAGAUCUUAGGCAGCGUCUCCCUCAGGUCCCUCUCUAUCUCCCCACACAUCCACCAACCACUGGAACACAUCUCCAAAGUUCUGCCGGGCCAGCUCAGCUUCCCCUCAGAAGAAGUGCCGCCACCUGCCAGAUGAAGGAGCCUUUUGAGAGGCAGCUGGCAUCGUGAUUGGACUGUACUUUGGUCUGUUCCAAUCCAGCUUCAGCUCCAGAGACGGCAGGCGGGACGAGUCAACGGAGGCCGGAUGGACGAAGGCAUGCAGCUGAGUACAAUCCAGAAAACAACAGAGGAGGAGUGCAGCAACCCAGAGCCAGAACAAGCAGAGUAGCAUCUUAUGUCUCUUAGAAAAUAUCAUAGUAUAGCCUUUGGUAUGAAAAAACGCCAUCAAAUACAUUGUAUAUUGUACAAAUAACAAGUCAAAGCAAAGAGACAUACAUUGUAGAAUUGUAGUAAUUGUGGGCUGACUGAUUUACUGAUUAUCAGUAUUUUAUUUUUUACUGAAUUACGGUAAUAAAUCAAUUUAAAAAUGCCGCUA